CCCAAUCUAAUAGGCUCCAUCGCCUCCGGGGCCCGCCCCUGACGCCACAGCGGAAGGCGCCGCUCCGGGAUUGGACGAGCUGGCCUGUCAAUCAAGCGCGGCGCUGAGGGUUCGGUGAGCUGAGACUGCGCGGCGCUCAGACCGGAGAAGGUGAGGGAUGCUGGGCCUGUCGGCGGCGGUGUUCUUCCCCCAGCUUCCUCGGUGGCUGCUUACUUUCCGCCUCUCCCAGCGCUGCUGAAACCUGUCAUUAUAAUCGCUCGCUAAUGUCGGCCCCGAGUUCAGCCCAAACUGCUCUGGUUCCUGCACCUGAAGGGGCCGACCAGCUGCAGAUUCUUAGGGACAGGGAGCGACAAAGGAAAAAAUAAUAAUAAGCCUCGGAGAAAAAAUCACUCUCAGGACCAGCACCACAUCUGCCUAUGGGCCUCCAUGUUCCCGUCAUGAUGAUAAUGCACUGAACUUCUAAAACUGACUUGGGGUUGAAUCUACAGCAGCUUGCUACAUAAUAGACAGCACAGCUUUAAUCCAUAUUCAUGGGUUUCCAACUCGAUCGUAAAUCUCCCCUCCCUGAUCACCUCUCAUCUAUAGACUUCAGGCACAAUAUCAAGCUUCAUAUUAGCCCCUGUAUGAGAGGGCAUUUGUCGCUGCAGGCACCACCUGCUUGCUGGGUGGAAUAGGAAGUACUCUGGCAACCUCAGCAUCAUCUCCAACUCUGUGAAUGCAGGGCUGGAAGCUCAGGUGAACUCCAAAGAGUAGAUGGCAUUGUCCAACAUGUCUCCCAUCAGAAGUGACCAAGAGAGUAUCGAACAUCCCAGCUGAGUUCAAAGAAGGCUUCCAACCAUCUCAGAUAUGCAAGAAUCUCUGAACAAAAAAGGAACACCCCAGGCAAGUCUGCUCUCAGAUCCCCAAAACACUACAGGCACCACCUGCUCCCAUCACCCUGCUCUUCCUGCUGUUUGUCUGUGUAAGCACCAAACCUGAAUCCCCAAACUCCACUCCAGGUCAAUGUCUGGAAAUACUACAGAUUUGAUUUGUUUUGAUCAUAACUAAUUCUUCACAUAACAGACUGAUGUUACAAUUAGUAAAGUUACAAUUCAGUCACCUCUUUCCAUACACUAUAUAUAUAUUUCAGUAAAAUCCCAAAGAUAAGACCAUUAAAAAAUGAUCAUUAGAUGCCUCCUUGUAUCAGACCAAACUAUAAGUCACAUAUACAAUACCUGGGAGGCAACACAGUACACAUAGACAUAUUAACAUCACCACAUUCCAUUAAUGUCUUUAGAACACACGUGAACACACACACACACACACACACACACACACACACACUGCAAAGGUGAAGAGACUUAAGUUCCUGUCAUUGCCAAGGAAUCUGUACAUUAACGACAAGCGUUAGUCCAUCUCAUCAAAAGUUAGUUAGCAAUAUGUAUCAAAAGUUUAUGUGUAUGAGUUCUCCCAGCCAUGCCAUUUCUAAUAAUAGAACCUAAGGAGAUAAUCAGUAAGGCACAUAAAAUGCACACAUAAGUGCUGUGGGUUGUCCUGUAUGUUGUGAAUAAAUAAAACGCUGAUUGGCCAGUAACCAGGCAGGAAGUAUGGGAUAGGCGGGACAAACAGAGAGAAGAGGCUGGGAGGU